ACGCUCGACACCUACGGGAAGCAGCAGUCGGGAAUAUUGCGCAAUGGAGGAAACUCUGACGCAGUGACGCCGCGUGCAGGAAGAAGGUUUUCGGAUUGUAAACUGCUUUAGACAGGGAAGAACAAAUGACAGUACCUGUAGAAUAAGCUCCGGCUAACUACGUGCCAGCAGCCGGGUAAUCUGAGCGGGCUGGCAAGGC
rnacentral:rRNA from 1 species